rnacentral:rRNA from 1 species
UACGUAGGGAGCAAGCGUUGUCCGGAAUCAUUGGGCGUAAAGCGCGCGUAGGCGGCUUCAUAAGUCCGCUGUGAAAGUCCAAGGCUCAACCUUGGAAAGCCGGUGGAUACUGUGAGGCUAGAGUACGGAAGAGGCGAGUGGAAUUCCUGGUGUAGCGGUGGAAUGCGCAGAUAUCAGGAGGAACACCAAUAGCGAAGGCAGCUCGCUGGGACGUUACUGACACUGAGGCGCGAAAGCGUGGGGAGCGAACAGG